rfam:Nomascus leucogenys chromosome 13, whole genome shotgun sequence.
AAAAAGGAUUUUUUAAAAACCACAUAUAUAAAAAGAAAACGUAGG